UCCCUGGUAGUCCAGUGGCUAAGACUCUGCACUCUCAAUGCAGGGGGCCCACGUUCGAUCCCUGGUCAGGAAA